GCCAUGCCUGUGAGGUUGGUGGUGCUGACGUUGGCUCUGCGAGGUCGGCUCAAGGUGGGUCUUGAUAUUGAGCAGGCCUGUCAGGGCGUUGUCACCCACACCAGGAGCACACAGCAGGUGC
rnacentral:precursor_RNA from 13 species